rnacentral:antisense_RNA from 1 species
GCAGGCACUCUCAGAACACAGCCUGCCAGCCCCAGCACCCGGCCUUGCUCCCAGCCUCUUCCCACCACAGCAGCCUCUUCCCUCUGUAUUCAGCUCAGGCGCUCAGGACUGCCAGGACCCAGAGGAUUCACACGACAGCCCCGGCUGAAGCCCAGCUCCUCAUCAACCGGUGAGCCGCCUGCCAGCUCCUGCUCCAGCUGCUGAGAAGCCUGAAGAGACCAAGACAGAGACACAGCCCCGCAGCACCACAGGGAGGCCCCAGUUACCCCAUGCGGAUGAGUUUCAUGGCCAUCUCUAACUAAGGACAGGACAUCGAUGUCAUCUGUAACUUCCAGUGCACUGGGGCACACAGCUGCAUCUCCCCAUGCUCACCUCCUGCCUCUUGCUCUGCCCAGUAAGCUCGCCAACCCCCGUGGACUGCUGGCUCUCAAGGCGACCG